CUUAGUCCUUUCUUUAACAUUCUUUAUUUAUUGUCUUUAACAUUCUUGGGUAACCAAAGUCAUCACCGUGUUACUGUAACAUGAAGUAAUAAUAUGAAACCAAAUGAGCUUAAAAAAGGUUACAAGAACGGGUAACUAGUCAUCGACUUGAAUAGUGAAUCACUCUAAAACGAGCUCAAAGAGGUUACUAAUCAUCGACUUGAAUAGGAUUAAUAUGAAAAAAAUCACUAAGAUGAAUAGUGAAUCACUCAUAAACACAUCAGAAAUUUAUAACCAUCUCUUCUCUCUUACUACAUUUUGUACAUAGCAUUCACCAUCUAUCCACAGAAAGGCCCCCACAAGCAUUUAUCUUAUUUGUCCACUCUGUAAAGCAUUUAUCUUAUUUGUCCACUCUGUAAAAACAACACUCGGUUUUCGACAACAACAACAACAGAGACUUAGAGAGUUUUGUCGACAAAAACGAAACAAAAAAGAUUCAAGAUUCCGCGUAUGCAUUUGUCAAGACGCCAGUUUGUUGGAGGAGCUAUUUCAUCUUGCGUGAGAUCUCAAUGUAAUUCAAAAGCUUCUAGAGCCUUCCCACUGUCAAUAGCUUCCUUUGCUCUCUCCAUUGCUACAGUAACAUCUUCUGCUCCUUCGCACCCCAAUAAAUGAUCUACAAUCCCAGCAUUUAGGACGAUUAUAUCAUAAGCCGCUCCUUUUUCACCACGCAGCGCUGCCAAAUCCGGCUCUAUGUGCUUCGACACCUUCUCAUUCAAUAAAGGUAUAUCAAGUUCUUUCUCUUUCUCUUUUGUGGGUAACCAUUGUCCCCAACAGUGUGAAACAUAAGAGGUCUUAUCGAACGAUCAGUUCAGUUUCUGUUGGCUGAAACCCAUAGUUUCUUGCAUUCACCUCCAGGUUGAAACUCGGAUUACCUAAAACUUGACGCUAUUACUUACAUGGUACUGCGAUUACACCGAAAAAUAUAUAAAAUUUACGAAUCUUAAUGAGAGAAAGAAAAACAAUCACAGAGUUAGUAUCCUUGAAAAUAAAUAACAUUAUAAUAUGAAAUUAUUGAUGACUGUAAUGCAUAGGAUUCUAUUCAGCUCGAAACCGACUAUUCAAUUUACUUGGACAUUACCAACCAUGAUGUAGACUUCUAUUUAGACUUCAAGUAGUUGUAGUUAUGCCGUGUGGGUCAACUUUCCUAGUUUGAAUAUUUUUACUCAGAAAAUUCGAGGUUUAAAGAAAAGUUGAAUCGGAGUUACAUUUAAAAAAAAAAAUCUAUUUGACCAAAUAAUUGUUGAUUUUGGAUGUAAAUCCAAAGUUGAAGCAUGUGGCAGACUGAAUAGUCUUAAGUUGAACAUGUUCCUGUAAGCAAUCAAAUUUCUAAAAAAAUGUGACAAAUAGUUAUACAACAUACAAUCAAAUUUUCCAUUCACUUAAUACGCCUUAAGAUUACAAGUUCAAGUCGUUAGAAUAUAAAAUUAACAUGUUCUUGUCCAGGCACCGAUAAGAUUACGGAUCUAAAGACUCAUAACGUAGAAGGAGUUCACAGAAACUGUAUGAAUUUCAAUUGCUUCAUCAUCUUUUAUUUUACUAAAAAUAUACAAAAAAAAAUAAAGAUAAAAUCGUAACUAAAAAAUUGGAUAAAUUCCAUGCAAGGCAUUAACGAACGUAUUAAAAAGCUAAAUAUGUAUUAGUGAGGAUCUUAUGCGACUUAUGUAUGUGUUCUUGCGAAGAAAGAGUUCAAAUCUUGAACGUUGACGGAGGUAAGCCUCCGUGGGGUCGUCUUUUGUUGGAUUCCGCCGCGCACAGGAGCCGGAGGACACUGAAGCAGCGGUGGAAUUUUAAAUUGUGCCCCCUUUGGAGUGGUGAAUCCAUCCUCUUCUUCUCCUUCUUUCUCUAGCUUCUUAUUGAUCGGAGUCUUCACUUUAAGUGUCUUUCCCGAAGAAUCCAUUGGCGAAGAAAACUGAAUAAACAAAAACAACAAGGAAAAUAAACCCUUUGACCUAAACUGGUUUGUUAAUUACUUUAAACGAAAAAAUAAAUUCACUCUUCAAGGGAAAAUGAUAACUGAGUUUCUUGAGUUUUCUAAGAAAAAGGAGGAACAAUAGGAAGAUUAGCUCACACCAAAAAAAAAUAUAUAUAUAAGAAGAUUAGGUUUUAGGGCUUUUUAAGUUUAUCUACUUGAAGAAGCUUUGAAGAGAAAAUACCAACAAGAAAAAAGAGAGGCAAAGAGUCGUGGAGAAUCUGAUAUCAUUUUUAGUUUAAUAUUAUAUAUAAAGGUAGAAUAUUUUCCAUCUAGAAACUUUAUUUUAUCAACGAUUAAAUAACUCUUCGUUAAUCCUCAUAAUGUGAAUGAAAAAUAAACAUGAAUCACUAUCACGUCCAUGUUCAUAACAUUUUUAAUAUGAAAAAAAAUAAGAAAAAAAAUAUUGAGAAGCUUCUCCACUUAAUAUCUAGAUAAUUACUCAAUUCACCAUAAAGAAGAAUAUACUUCUUCCGUUUCAUAUAUCAAAUAUAUAUACUUUCGGCUAAGUUUUUUUUAAUUGAAAUUAAUGUCGUCAUUUUAUGGAUUCAAUGAAAAAGUUUAUGUAAACUUGAGAUUAUUUUGUGUGGGUUAUCCAAUAAAUACAAAGUAUUUUAAAGAGAAUAAGAAGGGGUUUUUACAGAGUAAGGAACGGUAGUUAUAAUAGUAUUUUAAGAGUGAAUAUCUUAUUAUAUAAAGUUGACUUGUGUGAUGCGCACAGCCCUCCAUGUCAGCAAGGAGGAAAGGGCGUUUUUCGACACGACAGCUUUCUCUAUAAAGUUCUAAACUUUCGUUGAUGAAAAAUUGUUCCAACGAAUGGGCCCAAAAAGACCAUAACAAGUCGAAUCUAAUAUUGCUGACCUUCUAUAACAUAAACAUAAUCCAUUUAUAGCCCAUGUCUCUUUCAAUGACUUCGGCUUCUUCAAUCUCAUCUUUUGCAUCGCAGAUGUUGUAACGCCUCUGUAACGUUCGUAAUCCUCAUUCAAACCUUUCAUUAAUUGUUUUCAUUUGCUCCCUACGGCCAGCUCCCCCACUACGUUCAAUUUAGUGACUCCUUCUCCGCAGCUCUUAAACUCCCUAAUUUUUGAGACUAUAAAUAAGUGAUGGAGACGUAGUCAAGGUUCACUGCUUCACCCUGUUCAUCAUAAUUCUCCUUACAGACAUAUCACCAUCGAAGAUCAAAACAACAAUCGGUAUCAACUAUAAGAAUAUGGAUCUAAAGGCAAAUCAUAAGAUUCUUUAUAAUAGAAACAAUUAUAUAUUCUAGGAGAGCUAGAGAUUUGAUAUACCUUUGUUGCAGGUUUCUUGGCCGUGUCUGAGAUCCAAUCUACAUGGCGGAUUAUGGAAUACACGGCGGUGAGGAGUUUAAGAGGCUCUGUGAAAAUUCAUAUUUUUCCUUCGCUUGAUCUUCCCCGUCGCCGGAUCUGAGAUUCUCUCACGUAACAGUGGUCAGUACUCCUUUAAGCAGUUGUCAAUACUCCUCAACCAUUUGGAAUACGCUCGCCUUGAAGCUUCGCUUAUCUCUGCCAUCAUCUUUUUGGACAGAUUCUCUGCAAUCCUUGCUUUGUUUGUCGAUAGACAAAGCACCAUAAGUUUCUCUGUUUACUGGCGUUGCAGUCGCCGAUCUAUUUUAUUUGGAGAGAACUCAAUCACCGUCUCCACCGCAGCACAUUCAGGAGCUCAGCUUCGAUCCUUGCUGAGAUUGAUCAAUUAGUUAAGAAAAGAAUCUCAUCCUUCAGAGAGACAAACAUAGAUUUCUCCAGCAGAGCCAUGCAAAUUUGGUUUUCAACAAACUGAUUCUCGAAUCAAAAUCGAAUCGUUUCUCUUGCCAUCUCCAUUACUCAAUCCUCUAUUUGGGCCUUCAUUGAACUAUCUUCAGCUUAAUGGGCCUCCAGAAAAUCAAUUAAGGCUCCACUAAUUGGGCAUC